CAGUGUCAAGAAAAGCUAUUCUAUAGGGCCAGCCUGGAUUAAAUAGCAGGCGAAGGACACGGGCAUUAUUAGCAGCAGCUCCAGUGUCAAAGUAUUUCUGUGUGCAUCUCAGGCAGCGAAGCCUUAGGCAGAAGGCAGCCUCCAGAGAAAGUAUGGGAUGAGGUUUCUAUUUUGUCAUUUAAGUAAUUAAUAGAUGGGUCGGUCAUUCUGCAUAGCUAGGCCUCCUGGUUUGCUUUAGAUCUCCUUCUUCGAGCCUUUAAGGUAACAAUUCAGGGAGGAAACCAGGCAGCCUUCCCUGGAAAAGCUAGAGCUCCUUAAAGAGAAGGCAAAGGUAGGCCUGUUGUAACACAUCUGAUCAAUUUGUGGUUUUGUUAUGUGCUUUCAAAAUCUUUAUACAAGUGAAAAAAUGCUGAUGAAUGCUCCUAUUUUCCACUGAGUACUUACUGCCUUACAAACCAACACAAGGAUGGGACAUAAAUUGUGUGGAAGUCCACAAAGACUUGGAAAAAUAAAUGCCCUGACAAGUUGUAAACCCAAGGAAUAUAAGUGACCAGAGUGCAGAAAUGGUCAAAGGUACGUGACACAGUUUACUAAGUUUUUCUGGAGCUUAACAUUAUUGCUUGCAGAAGCGUGCAAGCACUUGCCCAAGCUUAGGCUUUAUUUUUGGCUGUAUAUCAGGG
rnacentral:lncRNA from 1 species